rnacentral:lncRNA from 1 species
UGCUUUAUAAGGCAGCUCUCGUUUGAAAAUCUUGUCUGAAGGCUUUUUAAUUUUUCUCAUCUUGUCCUAUUGAAAAACGACUGAAACAUGAACUAUUUUUCAUCUGAUGAAGUAGAGAACCCAUCACAAUAUUGGUAAGUUUGUGUGAGUGCUUCCUCUGCGAAUGACAGUGAAGCAACUGAUUAUUAAUUAUAUAACUGUACGACCAAUAAUUUCUAUUAUAAUACCAAGCUUGCACACUAAAAACUCGGCUCGCCGUCACACGAUCCCUAUGAAAUUGCUGUGGCACUUAGCGGGGGGGGGGGGGGGGGGGGGGGGGGGGGGGGGGGGGGGGGGGGGGGGGGCGGACAUGCCGACAAUGUUUGGGAAGUCUUGGCAUUCCAUAGUACCACUUGCAUUUUGCACAAUGCGUAUUUUUGUCAUUCCUCGUGUACGGUCUGUCAUCUGCUACCAGCUAUGUUGUACUGCUAUCCCGUGCAUGUGCACGGGUAUCGCUAGUUAUUAUUUUUCUUUUCCUAACAGCUUAUCCCCAUUGUUGAUCACCGAUGUGGAGAACGAAUUAUAUGAAUUACAUCACGAAUGGGAAAAAAUAAACGACUUUCUUGAAGAGAUUCGAAUUUUCAGAGGAGAAAUGAGAGAUACGAUUACCGACUGGGAAGCAUCACUGUCAUGUCCUCUAAUCUUGAAAGACCCGACUUCAAGGAAGCUUUUUUACACAAGGAAUUUUUAAUGGAAAGUUAAGGAGGAGGAGGAGGAGAUUGGGACCAUAAUCUGCGCAGAGCGUUGGUGCUGCUCAAUCAGUCUCCUUGGCUAUUUGACACAAUCCUGGAUGGGUCACCACUCCGAUACAGUAUACCGGCAUGCUGGCACUCAUUUUGCCGACCUCGGAGGGAUGACAGGCCAAAGUGAAGGCACGUACAUUAAAUUUUAUUUCACACGUGAUAAAAUGACUUGUUUUCUUUUUGUUUGGUUUUUUACACUGCUCCUGUGGAAUUCUGAAAAUACCACCUUUUGAGUUAACCCUUCCAACCUCCUCUCCUGAUCUCGUGGAGUCAGAACACAGUCACAAGGUUUAAUGGUGAUGGACAAUCGACAAAGCUGUUUUAACAUUAUUUUAGUCAUGCCACGUGUGAACUGUGGUCUAUAUCGCACACAUUCAUGGUGACACCGCAUCGAUCCAUCUGAAGAGUGUGUGAACAGUACCAUACCACUGUACUAAGUUCAGCCUUUGGCAAUUAGCACAGCCUUGAAACAUUUUUUUAACCAUUUAAGUGAGUUCUUCUGGGAAGUAAAACGAAGGGGCCUUUCAGUCUUUUUGCUUAUCUGGCUGAUAUGACGCACAGCCGUGAUGGAGAACUGUGUGAGAUGACCCGUUGGAUGAAAAUAAA